GUUCAGUAAGGACUGUCUCCCAUAGGUGGGAACCUACACUGGAACAGGGAAUGUAAAGUUUCCUUUGCAACCUUAGUGAAGAUCAUGAUUUCUCUGAUAGAAGAGUCACAACAGUCACAGGCCUCCUCUACUGGUGUAAGAUCAAGCCACAGAACUGCUUUAACACAAAUUCUCUAGCCUAAUCUUAUAUGAGAGCAAGCACUACCUUGCAUGUUGCAUGAAAAUUUGUAAGACUAAAAAAUGCUAUUACAUUA